rnacentral:rRNA from 1 species
UACAGAGACUGCAAGCGUUGUUCGGAGUUACUGGGCGUAAAGCGCGCGCAGGCGGCGGUAUAAGCAUGGCGUGAAAGCCCCAGGCUCAACCUGGGAGGGUCGUCGUGGACUGUACCGCUUGAGGGCGGUAGGGGCUGGUGGAAUGCCUGGUGUAGUGGUGAAAUGCGUAGAGAUCAGGCGGAACACCCGUGGCGAAGGCGGCCAGCUGGGCCGUCCCUGACGCUGAGGCGCGAAGGCGUGGGGAGCGAACGGG